rnacentral:rRNA from 1 species
UACGUAGGGUGCGAGCGUUAAUCGGAAUUACUGGGCGUAAAGCGUGCGCAGGCGGUUUUGUAAGCCAGAUGUGAAAGCCCCGGGCUUAACCUGGGAAUGGCAUUUGGGACUGCAAGGCUUGAGUGCGGCAGAGGAGACUGGAAUUCCUGGUGUAGCGGUGAAAUGCGCAGAUAUCAGGAGGAACACCGGUGGCGAAGGCGGGUCUCUGGGCCGAUAUUGACGCUGAGGAGCGAAAGCGUGGGGAGCAAACAGG